AGCAGCUGGAGAGGCAGGAGCUUACUCAGCCAAGCUAUGGGGAGAAGUCUGAGGGCCACUGAAUUUGGAUCCAGCCUGCGAGAAACCCACCAGGCCAAAUCUGGCCCAUCAGGAAGGAAACUUUUUGGAUUUGGUGCCACAUCUGCAUCCAGGGAAAGAUUUUUUCCAAACAGAGACCAAACUCAGCAGUGCCCUGGUGCAAGAUGUGCACUGCCAUUCUUCUAAUGAUCUACCUUGUGUGCAAGAACAAUCUUCCUAAAAGGUCUCAUAUAUUGGACAAUAUGAGAAAAUAAGAUUGAUCCUUGCAGAAUGCCCAUAUAUAAAAUCUCUCACUGAUGACAUAGAAGAAUUUGUCAUAUAGAAUUUGGCAUUUUUGCUUAGAAAAUUCUUCCCCUAUUCAUUCACUACCCAGGAGACAUUGGGAAGCCUGUUCUAGGCAUAACAGAACAAUGGAUGUAUGCUGCAAUCCUUGAUCAACAUGCCAAAUGCUGUGCUGUGUCACAUUUGUGCUGUUCUUAUUCACACCAGCCAAAAUCCCACAUGGAUAUCCAGAGACAUAAUUUAACCCUAUAAAGAUUAAUGGAAAAUUCUCCUUAGAUUCAGCUAGCUUAGGAGACAUUUAUAGAUAAAAACUUCCUUUUUCCUCUGUAUCACUGCCUUCACCAUAAUUGAAGCACAAGGGCAGAGGAUCAAAUGUAUUGAUAUGGUAUUUUUUGAACUCACAGGAAAAAAAAAGCAAAUUGCUUUUUUCAAAUCAGUUCUUCAAACUGCCCAAAGAUUAUGAUUUUGUUUUCCAACUGGUCAGCAGAUACUACAUUUUAGGAGGUUGCAGAGUAAACACAAAUGAGAUUAGAAGAGACUAGUGAAAUACUGGGCUUAAAGAAAAAGGAGGGCUGACAGCAUUCACGUGCCUCCUAUCUUUGCAACAUUCAGAUUCAGACUUUCACCAAUACUAGGAUUAAUUUUAACUUCAUACUGGUUUGUCACUAAAGAUGCAUUGUAUAUAUUGUCAGUUGAACUAAUGUGCCCCCCUCUAGUAUACAAUAACUAUAUCACCUACCCAAUUGAAAGUCAAAGUGAAAAUCAAGAUUUUUUUUGUAGCAAACAUGAUUUUGUUUGCAAUUGUCUAUACAAGUGUAAGUAUUUUUUUCACCACUCUUCCCCAAAUGCUGGCAUAUUGCCAUAGCAUGCAUAGGUAGAAUGAAUUAAGAGUCUGGAGCCAUUUCCCCACUCCUACCCCCCAUCUUUAAAAAUUAUUUCUAACAUUAAAAGGCUACAGUUGUUACAACUACCCAAUGGUUUCACACAAUGCAACUCUUCUUUUGUUAGUAAAAUAAAAGCUUUGAAUGAGUCCCCUUUGUAGUCUAUAGGAGGUGUCUUUUCACAAAAUUUUGAUCUUGGAUGACAACUUUGACAUGAAGACAAGAUGGAUACCUUAACCAGCCACAUUUCAACACACUGUUGGAGAAAAAAAAAUGGAAACCAAAAACUUUUUAGCAUGUCACGUAUCAGAAGUUAAGGCACAGCUAGUAUAUUUCCAUACAAAUUAAAAGCUUUGAUCUAAACCUCCUAAAAGCAUUUAUUAAAAAUACAAUAUAAACAUACAAAUACUGUUAUGGGACUCAAUCCUGCUGUCACUGAAAUAUCUUUAAUAGGAUCAGGGUCAGGCCAAUGCUAUUUUUCUUCAGAAGGAUACAAUUGCAAAGGUUCUUUUUUUUUUUUUUUUUUUAAUCUCUGUUUUAAAUACUUCAGUGCUAGCUUUUAUUUCCCUUGAGACCAAGUCCCUGUGUUUAUCUGUAGAAGUACAGUAUAAACAACCAUAAUGCAAGCUUCUCUCAGAUUAUUCCAACAACAUCUCAGACAUCACCUAGGAAGAAGCCAUGUACAAAGAUGAUAGAGGGCAAUAAUCCAGUUUCUAUAGUUUCCACUUCAUCCUGGUCACUAUGCUGAGGCCAAAAAGAUGUAAUUUAUUGCUAUAUGUUUCUGCCAGCUGCCUGCUGAGGACUGGACAAAACCUAUCAAGCUCUUUCACACUGAUCAGCCAAUAGUUAAAACCACUCUUGGUCACUUCUGUUCUGAGCCACAUUUGAACUAGAGCUCUGUAGUUUAUCCCAGUACUAAAUUCUUAACCAUCCAGUUUUCAUUUAGGACAGUUAUUUUUUAAAUACAAGCUGGCUACAAAGACUGCUUCUGUCCAGCAUCAGGAAAAUGCAAUGUCACUCCCUCAGUGCAAAGAUUCCCUGAAAGCAGCUUAAGUGAAUACUGGGUAGUGUAUUGCUUCUCUACACGCACAAGGGCAUAGUCAAUGUCUGGUAGAGGCUGUAGAACAGGAGUGGCCAACAUGUGGUACAAGUGCCACAAGAGGCACAGGAAGCCUGUGUGUGGCAUGUGGCAGAUCAGGAAGGGGGCAGGCAGCACAGUAUCAGAUAGGGCAGGAAGCAGAAAUCAGAGCAGGAGAUAAGGCAGAAGAAGGGGCCUGGAGUGGCACUCAGGGACAGUGGAGGGCUAAUUUGUGGCAUGACUAUCAAAAAGAUUGGCCUCCCACUGCUGGAGAAGGUCAGAUUCCAAUUCUGGGCCAAGUGUAAGUGACAGAUUAGGGGCCUUAUGACUAAAUCCUGUGCUCAGUGUACAGCCCAAGUCAUUUUCUAGGGCACCGGUGAAGUGAUUUGGGAAGGACAAACAAGCAGGUCCAUCCUUAGAGGGGGUGAAUUGGGGCAACUGCCCUGGGUCCUGUGCUGUAGGGUGCCCUGCGGAGCUGGGCCAUGCUGCCGCCAGCUUCACAUCCAGCCACUUGGCA